rnacentral:rRNA from 1 species
CACGUAGGGCGCAAGCGUUGUCCGGAAUUAUUGGGCGUAAAGAGCUCGUAGGCGGUCUGUUGCGUCCGCUGUGAAAACUCGGGGCUUAACCCCGAGCCUGCAGUGGAUACGGGCAGACUAGAGGUAGGUAGGGGAGAAUGGAAUUCCCGGUGUAGCGGUGAAAUGCGCAGAUAUCGGGAGGAACACCGGUGGCGAAGGCGGCUCUCUGGGCCUUACCUGACGCUGAGGAGCGAAAGCAUGGGGAGCGAACAGG